rnacentral:misc_RNA from 1 species
ACAUCUCCCUCUUUGAAUAACCACUUCCACUCACAAUCUGGAAAAAGGAUUACAUCGUACCAUCCUCUUUCUCGUCGUUCAAUAUUUUUAAUAUGGACCCUCACAUGGGUUCCUGUGUCAGCCAUCUCCUCCCAAGUACUGUACAGCUGUGCCCGGCAUUCCUCAAAGAGCAAGGGUUCAAACACCUUAACAUACUCUUCCACAGAUUCAAACUGACCAGGUACACA